GAAAAAUCUAACAUAUGAAAGCUAUAGUGAAAAAUGCCUAAAAUCUUGUCAUUGUUCCUGUCCAGGAUGUCCUAGGUCAGCUCUGAUGACUAUUCUGGGCCUGCUCCAGCCUGUGUGUUGGGGUGAUCUGACCUGGUCCAUAACCAUGUGUGUUCAGGUGAUCUGGCCUGGUCCAUAACAAUAUUUGUUCAGGUGAUCUGGCCUGGUCCAUAACCAUACAUGUUGAGAUGGUCCGGCGUGUUGAGGUGGUCCGGCCUGGUCCAUAAACAUUCGUGUUGAGGUGGUCCGGCCUGGUCCAUAAUCAUGCGUGUUGAGGUGGUCCGGCCUGGUCCAUAAACAUUCGUGUUGAGGUGGUCCGGCCUGGUCCAUAAUCAUGCGUGUUGAGGUGGUCCGGCCUGGUCCAUAAUCAUGCGUGUUGAG
ensembl:lncRNA